rnacentral:rRNA from 1 species
GAUGAACGCUGGCGGCGUGCCUCAAACAUGCAAGUCGAGCGGGGCUAUGUAAUAUCGCAAGGUAGAACAUAGCCUAGCGGCGAACGGGUGAGUAACACGUGGGUAACCUGCCUGGAAGACAGGGAUAACGAUUCGAAAGGGUCGCUAAUACCUGAUAAUAUCCUUUCAUCGCAUGGUGAUAGGAAGAAAGGGGAAACCCGCUUUCAGAUGGGCCCGCGUCCCAUCAGCUAGUUGGUAAGGUAAAGGCUUACCAAGGCGACGACGGGUAGCCGGUCUGAGAGGAUGUACGGCCACACUGGGACUGAGAUACGGCCCAGACUCCUACGGGAGGCAGCAGUUGGGAAUCUUAGGCAAUGGACGAAAGUCUGACCUAGCGACGCCGCGUGAGGGAAGAAGGCCUUCGGGUUGUAAACCUCUGUCAUGGGGGAAGAAGUAAGUGACGGUACCCCAAGAGGAAGCCCCUGCUAACUACGUGCCAGCAGCCGGGUAAAGAGUAGUACA